CACACACACACACACACACACACACACACACAGGGUAGAAAGUAAAUUGGGUAGGCAGCCCUGGUAAUGAGCACAUUGGACCCCCUUGCAUGGGUCCCCACAGAGCAGCCAUGCUAGAGGAUAUGGCAUUGCACUGUCUGGAUCAAUGAAUUGAUAGCAGACCACAAAGUCUCAAGCUUUGGGUUUCUGAUCAGUCUAACUCACGAACCUUGAAGCUGCAAGCAGGAGGCCAAGUCCUGGUGUUGAGUAAAACCAGAAACCCUAAACAGGGUCAGGCCUAGCAAAGCAUAAGCUGAGCUUGCAGUAAAAUGGCAACUGGGGGCCCAAAUCCAGCCUGACCUCAAAAUCACUUGCUUAGUUUUAUUUAACACUAAGUGCUUUACUUUGGAAGUUUUUGUGAACACAGCCCAAGCUGGCCUUGAACUCCCUAUGUGGCUGAGGUUGGCCUUAAACUCUUCCUGUCUCCACCUCCCACAUGCUGAGAUUUUAAGCACGUGCCACUACACCCAAUUUUUAAAUGGUUGAAGUAAUUUUGGCCUAAUCUCUUGCUGUUUCUACUGUGAGCACAGUGUGUGACAAACUGCUUCACAUUCCUGCCAUUGACUGAUCUUCAACAUGGAUUACACCCUCAAAUUGCAAACUAAACGAACGGCCCCUUCCGGGAUACCACAAACGCUUACCUGCUGGCACUGCACAGAAACAGUCUGCUCUUGCUCGGCCUCUCCACUGCAGCGAAGGUGUUUGAUCAAAGAGGUCACAGUAAAGUGAAAGGAAGUUUAUAAGUGUUUCCUCGUGUGCUCUACCAGGCAUCAGUACCUUUGUUCUCCCAGCAGCCCUGGAAGAACUGUUUUCUUCUUUUUUAAACAUGAGGAACUAGACACUGGUCACUCAGAAAGUGGUAGUGUGGGGGUCUGAACCAGGUUGGCUGUCUCAUGGGAUAACCAUGAAUCAGGGCAUAGUGAUGUCACCCAGAGAAGGGACACUGCUUAGGAGAGCAGCAGCACUUAAAGAAGGCUGUGCAAGACACACAGAUUAGGAUGGGGUGGGGGCUUCAAGCGGAAGACAUGCUGGGGGGCAGAGCCAAGCACUCACGGCUAGGAGUAACCCGGGGCUCUAAGCUCCAGUUGGACAGGACAGCUGCAGAAAAGCCACGCCAGUCCCGUGGGAGGAUGGCGCAAAAGAAACUCGGUCGCACUGCUGGGCUCCAGUCUCACUGGAUUGCCUACAGCUGUUUAGAGCAAGCUGCUUAAUCGUAAAAUAGUGCUGCCUUUUUUGAGUGGCUUUGAAUCGAUACAUCUGAAGGUUCAGGCAGGUGCUGGGCACCCUUAAUGUGUCAUUAUUAUUAAUGGUUACUGUAUUUAUUUGGACCAUAAAUAUUAAGGAAAAAAAGACCCACAAGUGAACUUGUGCUUGGUGACUACCAAGUAGGAAGCAACGGGUUAACCUGGGAAAUCCAAAGGAAGUGGGCCAUUAGUAACAGAACAAAUUUCAUGGUUGUGCUGAAGACUAAGAAGAGUCUUAGCUUGUGAUGGUGGUCUGCUGAUGAGGAAACUGUGGGUCAGAAAUUUGCUCAGGAGCAAAAGCAAAAGUUCGCUAUCCUGGACAAGUGUAAAGGAAGAGCCUGAAAACAUACCUGGUACACAAGCAGUGAAAAGGACUGAAUGUUUGCUGAGUAAAUGAGUCCUGGAAACUUGUCUUUUGGUGGAAACAUCUGCCCAUUAGGCACAAUGGAACUGAUGCAAUGGAGAAGAAUGAGAUCUCCUGGGAACCACACACUGCCCCUCUCCGACAGGGGGUACAAUGUCCAAGUCCCAAAGACACCCCUGAAAAACUGGACUCAGGGGAACAGGCAGAGUAUCGUACUAAUGUUUUUAAUAUAGUCUGAUCAGAUCAAUUCACAUCACAAGGUCAACCUGGGUUUGCUCAAGUGUAACACAACCAAGGUACACAAUGUUUCUACCUGAGGCUCUCCUACCUUCCUGGCCCCCAACACCAUUAAAAACCUCUUCCUGA